rnacentral:tRNA from 1 species
GGGCCUGUAGCUCAUAGGAUUAGAGCACGUGGCUACGAACCACGGUGUCCGGGUUCAAAUCCUUCCUAACCCA